AGANCGCUUUCUUCGGAAAGCAUAUAUCUAGUGGCAGACGGCUGAGUAACGCGUAAGUAACUUACCCUUGAGUGGGGAAUAACACAGAGAAAUCUGUGCUAAUACCGCAUACGAUUUAUUAAUAAUUUUUAUAAAUGAAAGAUUUAUCGCUCUUGGAUGGGCUUGCGUCCUAUCAGGUUGUUGGCGGGGUAAUGGCCCACCAAGCCUAAGACGGGUAGCUGGUGUGAGAGCACGACCAGCCAGAGGGGGACUGAGACACGGCCCCCACUCCUACGGGAGGCAGCAGCUAAGAAUAUUGCACAAUGGACGAAAGUCUGAUGCAGCGACACCGCGUGAAGGAUGAAGGCCCUAGGGUUGUAAACUUCUUUUAUUAGGGAAUAGCAAGGAAGGUACCUAAUGAAUAAGCAACGGCUAACUACGUGCCAGCAGCCGCGGUAAUACGUAGGUUGCAAACGUUGUCCGGAAUCACUGGGCGUAAAGGGUCCGUAGGCGGUUUGAUAAGUCUCAUAUGAAAGCUUCAAGCUCAACUUGGAGAUGUUGUGAGAUACUGUCAGACUAGAGACUGUUAGAGGUAAGUGGAAUUCCAGGUGUAGUGGUGAAAUGCGUAGAUAUCUGGAGGAACACCAGUGGCGAAAGCGACUUACUGGGACAGUUCUGACGCUAAGGGACGAAAGCGUGGGGAGCGAACCGGAUUAGAUACCCGGGUAGUCCACGCUGUAAACGAUGAUUGCUAGGUUUUCGGGGCAUCGACCCCUCGUGAGCCGAAGUUAACGCGUUAAGCAAUCCGCCUGANUAG
rnacentral:rRNA from 1 species